ACAACCAGGCACCCUUAUGGCCUCCAUUGAUGGAGCAGCCUCAACUAUGACAUAAUGAUACUCCCUCACAAUUCAAAACAAGAAGGUGUUUGGUGAGAUUUUGGUUUCCCUCACCUCUUCAUGAAUGCACAGUGCAUGGCCUGUAGAGAUGUGAAGACUUAAGGAGGAGCUGUUCCUGCCCUGUUCCAGGUCAGAACAACUUCAGGCCUUGCAUGGCAGAGGAGUGACACCUAUUAAGCUUCAGUGGCAGGAAGCCAUUAGCUUAGCAGAGAUGUCACAGGGCACCUUGCUUGCAGGCAUGUGUGCAGAGUAACAAUUCCGAGACAAUCAGAGCGUGAUGGAGUAGGAAAAGCAAUAGAAAAGGAGCUCUCUGGCCUCUGAAGGCCUGCUCUGCAGGAUUUCCUGCUAAGUGCCCUCUGUGCCAGCUCUUGCAGGACCCUUGGGAGCCCAUGGAAUACUUUUUGGGAAGCUGUGAGAGCUGAUGAAAACAAGCAAGCUUGUAUAUACCUGCAGCAAUCCUUGUGUUUGCUGUUUCUAGAGGAGGCUUUCUGUAAACAGGACUGACUGGCUACCACCUCCUUUGGGUUGUCUCUUGGAUGUCUGCUGGGGGUCUGGCUUUGUUUGUUGUGUCCACGUCUUAUGAGAAGAACAUGACAGAAUGGGAAUUUACAUAACAGCAAA